rnacentral:ncRNA from 2 species
AUCUGUAACGGCGAUGGAGUUCGCCAAAAACGCGAGUAUUCGCUGAUGACUCCUAUUUAAAU